rnacentral:rRNA from 1 species
AGACGCACGUAGGCGGCGUUUGUAAGUCAGAGGUGAAAGCCUGGAGCUCAACUCCAGAACUGCCUUUGAGACUGCAUCGCUUGAAUCCAGGAGAGGUGAGUGGAAUUCCGAGUGUAGAGGUGAAAUUCGUAGAUAUUCGGAAGAACACCAGUGGCGAAGGCGGCUCACUGGACUGGUAUUGACGCUGAGGUGCGAAAGCGUGGGGAGCAAACAGGAUUAGAUACCCGUGU